rnacentral:rRNA from 1 species
GACGAACGCUGGCGGCGUGCUUAACACAUGCAAGUCGAGCGGGAUCCAACCGGUGGCAACACCGGGGAAGAUCUAGCGGCGAACGGGUGAGUAACACGUGAGCAACCUGCCCCGAAGACUGGGAUAACACCGGGAAACCGGUGCUAAUACCGGAUGUCGUCAUUAGGCCGCAUGACCUGAUGAUGAAAGGAUUCAUCGCUUCGGGAGGGGCUCGCGGGCUAUCAGCUUGNGGUGGGGUAACGGCCUACCAAGGCGACGACGGCUAGCUGGUCUGAGAGGACGACCAGCCACACUGGGACUGAGACACGGCCCAGACUCCUACGGGAGGCAGCAGUGGGGAAUCUUGCGCAAUGGGCGAAAGCCUGACGCAGCAACGCCGCGUGGGGGAUGAAUG